rnacentral:lncRNA from 1 species
UUUUCUCCAAGAUUUCUGGGAAACUCUCAAGGUUUCAAGUUUAAUGUGAAAGAAAUCUUAAGCAAGAAAUGGUAAAGGAAAUUUGUUUUUGAAAAGAAAUACGAGAUACCAAUAGUCUCAUUGCUUUUCUCAAAAGGCACAAAACAGGGCUGGGACUUUAUAUCUGAUAGGAAGCAGAUCAUGAGUCAUAUCCCAUGGUCUUGGAAGAAUUUCUUUGUUCACGGUUCAUAAUCAAAACAGCAAACAUUUUUCAAAAAUUGAGAAAACAUGGAAGUUUGUCGUUGAGGACCUUUGAAUUGCUCUCGGCGAAUUGAUUCCACUUCAUACUCGUGAGAUCCACCAACACUUUGAGCAUUAUCUAUAUCAUGAAAGUCUUCACUGCCGCCACCAAAUUCGAGUGUAAAGGUGUUGAGAUUUGCAUAAACUGGACUUACGCCACAGCAUUUGACCUUUUGAGGACCUUUGCCGAUAACCAACUGAUAGCGGAUGAAGAAGUCAAAUGAGACUGCUGCCCCAUCCGAUAACCCAAUAUUCCGACAAGGAUAAAAUCCAAGUAUGACAUGAUUUGAGUUUACGCACACGUUGUUGACCAAUUGGCAAAAGUGAUCGGACCCGAACUUACAUCCCACUCCGAAGAAAAUGGCAGGAGAAUAAGAAUCUUCCUCAAACUCAAAUUCAAUAGCAACACAUAGAGCAAACCCAAUGAAGAUUUUGCUACCACAACGAUGUGGCAGUUGAAUAGUUAUUAAAGAUCCUAUAGAUUGACUGCUGUACCAGUCUGGUACUUCACUUCCAGGUAAACAAAAGCUGAUUCCAUCAAAUUCCUGUAAAAUUAAAAUCAUGAUUUGAUUUUGGAUGUAAUUCAGGGGAGAGAUAAAGGGAAAUAGAUCGAAUUGCAUACCUUCUCAUAGAAUAGUCUUAGCGAUGCAAUUAUCAUAUGCCGAAUUCUUUUUUGCAAAUCUGCCCAAAUACUUUCAUUUAGUUUCAGGCAAUUAGCAAAUAUCAGUUGCACUGGAGACAUGUGCUUGGAUAGUCUUUCACCGGUGCGAUUGGAUAGUGCUUGCAAUAUGGAUGCAUCCAGUUCUUCUAGACAUGAUGUGAGUUCUGGCAAAAAUUGGAGCCGCUUGCAAUCACUUGCACCUAACAUUACCAAAAGCAGUGGAAGCUCUGGUAACGACUGAAGCUUGACGCAAUUGACCAAGUAAAGCCAUCUAAGCCGUGAAAGUUGGCUGAUACUUGUAGGUAAACUCUCAAAGUUAUUUCCACUCAGAUUUAAACUUUCCAAUGAUGAUAGACAGCCAAUAUCGGGAGGGAUUUCCAUUAUCUCACAGUCUCCUAGUUCUAGCUUUUUCAAAGAAGAUAAACCCGAUAAUAGUGGAGGCAAUACCAAACCCCUGCAUUCAAACAACGAAAGGGUUUCAAGUUUGUUUAAAUCAACAAUGGAGGAUGGUACCUGAGGAAUUGCCAAUAACCCUGCAUGAAGACGUUCCAAAGAUUUUAAAUUGCCCAAGCUCUCUGGCAAACUGCCAAGUUUAGUGCAACCAGUCAACUUUAACUGCUUAAGCCCUUCUAGAUUUUCGAUUGAAGAUGGCAGCUCUUUGAUAUUACUUGCCUCCUCUAAAUUAAUUUCUUCUAGUAGUUCCAUUUUCUCCAAGAUUUCUGGGAAACUCUCAAGGUUUAUACAAUAACUAAGAUCAAGGCUGCGAAGAGAUUUCAAUUUACAAAUGCUAGUUGAAAGCCUUUUAAGACUACAGCAAAAACUCAUUUCUAAGGUUUCAAGAUUGGGUAGGCACUCGAUUGAUAAGGGAACUUCUUCUAUUGGAGUACACAUUAGGUUUAGUUCUACUACAUUGCCUGAAAUCCUUGGAAACUCUCUGAGAUUAACACACUUGUAGCAAUCAAUCUUAAUGGAAGAUAUGAAAUGAAUGUUCUGCGGAAAGCACCUAAGACUUUCACAGCCAGCCAUAAUCAUGUUACCAAGUUUGUUAAAAUUCUGGACGUACGAGGGAAUGUGAGCCAAGCCUGUGCAAUUCCAAAAAUUCAUUCUCUCGAGAUUUGGAGUUUCUGAUGGCUCUGGGAUUCUAGUGAGAUUGGUUGAGUGAUUGAGGUCAACAUAUUUUAACUUUGGAGCUUUCUACAAAAGGAAAUGAAGAAUAUUACCAAGCAUCAAAAGAAAUAUAUUUAAGGAAGUAUAAACAAAUGUUUACCUUUUUUCCUUCCCAGAUUUGCUCAACUUUACUAUAAGGAAAGUUGAGUUCGAUAAGAUUCUGAGGGACAAAAUCCAAUGGCAAAGUUUUCAAAGGAUAUCCAUGCCAGUAAAGAUAUCUUAAUUCCUCAGGAAGAUAUUCUAAACCUUGUUGAAGGUACACUUUAGAACUCAUUUUCGAAAUGUCAAAGUGUCCCGAGAUAUAGAAUUUAAGCAAUCUAAGAUUAGACAUAUUUGAAAAUACUCUAGGGUCUAGAUUUAUUUCUUCGAUUUUCGACAAAUCUAAGAAUAUGCUUUUAAUUGCAUCAGUCCCCUGGUAAACAAAAGAAAGAAUGAGUUAGCAUGAAAUGCACAAAAACGGUCAUUAAGAUUGUUUUCAACGGAAACAAAAAUUUGAAUGGGUCGAUUUUUCUUUAUCCAACAUAUAUUUGUAACAAUUAAAAGAAAAGCAAAUUUAUCAAGCUUUCAAGUACCUUGUUUUUCUCCAAUACAUGACAAACAUCCUUGUAAUCCCACAACCGGCUACGUUUUUCUGGCUUUUCUCUAAAUUCUUCAGCAAAAACUCAUUUCUAAGGUUUCAAGAUUGGGUAGGCACUCGAUUGAUAAGGGAACUUCUUCUAUUGGAGUACACAUUAGGUUUAGUUCUACUACAUUGCCUGAAAUCCUUGGAAACUCUCUGAGAUUAACACACUUGUAGCAAUCAAUCUUAAUGGAAGAUAUGAAAUGAAUGUUCUGCGGAAAGCACCUAAGACUUUC